rnacentral:rRNA from 1 species
AUUGAACGCUGGCGGCAUGCCUUACACAUGCAAGUCGAACGGUAACAGGUCUUCGGAUGCUGACGAGUGGCGAACGGGUGAGUAAUACAUCGGAACGUGCCCGAUCGUGGGGGAUAACGCAGCGAAAGCUGUGCUAAUACCGCAUACGAUCUACGGAUGAAAGCGGGGGAUCGCAAGACCUCGCGCGGACGGAGCGGCCGAUGGCAGAUUAGGUAGUUGGUGGGGUAAAGGCUCACCAAGCCUGCGAUCUGUAGCUGGUCUGAGAGGACGACCAGCCACACUGGGACUGAGACACGGCCCAGACUCCUACGGGAGGCAGCAGUGGGGAAUUUUGGACAAUGGGCGCAAGCCUGAUCCAGCCAUGCCGCGUGCAGGAUGAAGGCCUUCGGGUUGUAAACUGCUUUUGUACGGAACGAAAAGGUUCUUUCUAAUAAAGAGAGCUCAUGACGGUACCGUAAGAAUAAGCACCGGCUAACUACGUGCCAGCCGCCGCCGUAAUAC